rnacentral:rRNA from 1 species
UACGUAGGGGGCGAGCGUUGUCCGGAUUCAUUGGGCGUAAAGCGCGCGUAGGCGGCUCGACAAGUCGGCCGUGAAAUCUCCAGGCUCAACUUGGAGGGGUCGGGCGAGACUGUCGGGCUCGAGGUGGGCAGAGGGCAGUGGAAUUCCGGGUGUAGUGGUGGAAUGCGUAGAGAUCCGGGAGGAACACCAGUGGCGAAGGCGGCUGGCCUGGGCCUGGCCUGACGCUGAGGCGGCG